rnacentral:tRNA from 1 species
AAGAUUUUAAGUUAAAUAAACUCUUAACCUUCAAAGUUAAAUAUGUCUUUAAGACAAAUCUUA